rnacentral:lncRNA from 1 species
UUCAGUUGCCUGUCCCCCUUGAGUCUGUAAAAGAGAUGCUGAACUCAGUUAUGCAGGAACUUGAAGACUACAGUGAAGGAGGUACUCUUUAUAAAAAUGGUUGCUUUCGAAGUGCUGAUUCAGAGUUAAAGCAUUCAACACCAUCUCCUACCAAAUAUUCUCUAUCACCAAGUAAAAGUUACAAGUAUUCGCCAAAAACACCACCUCGAUGGGCAGAAGAUCAAAAUUCUUUAUUGAAAAUGAUCUGCCAGCAAGUAGAGGCCAUUAAGAAAGAAAUGCAGGAAUUGAAGCUAAAUAGCAACAAUUCUGCAUCCCCUCAUCGCUGGCCUGCAGAACAUUACCGACAAGACCCAGUUCCUGAUGGGUAUCAGGGGUCACAAACUUUUCAUGGGGCUCCACUAACAGUUGCAACUACUGGCCCUUCAGUAUAUUAUAGUCAGUCACCUGCAUAUAAUUCCCAGUAUCUUCUCAGACCAGCAGCUAAUGUAACUCCCACAAAGGGUCCAGUUUAUGGCAUGAAUAGGCUUCCACCUCAACAACAUAUUUAUGCAUAUUCACAACAGAUGCACACACCACCAGUGCAAAGUUCAUCUUCUUGUAUGUUCUCUCAGGAAAUGUAUGGUCCUCCCUUGCGUUUUGAGUCUCCUGCAACAGGAAUUCUAUCACCCAGGGGUGAUGAUUACUUUAAUUACAAUGUUCAGCAGACAAGCACAAAUCCACCUUUGCCAGAACCAGGGUAUUUCACAAAGCCUCCACUUGUAGCUCAUGCUUCAAGAUCGGGAGAAUCAAAGGUUAUAGAAUUUGGAAAAUCCAAUUUUGUUCAGCCCA